rnacentral:rRNA from 1 species
GACGAACGCUGGCGGCGUGCUUAACACAUGCAAGUCGAACGAAAAGAGGGAAAGAGCUUGCUCUUUCCGGAAUUGAGUGGCAAACGGGUGAGUAACACGUAAACAACCUGCCUUCGGGAUGGGGACAACAGACGGAAACGACUGCUAAUACCGAAUAAGUUCCAAGGGCCGCAUGGCCCAUGGAAGAAAAGGUGGCCUCUACCUGUAAGCUAUCGCCUGAAGAGGGGUUUGCGUCUGAUUAGCUGGUUGGAGGGGUAACGGCCCACCAAGGCGACGAUCAGUAGCCGGUCUGAGAGGAUGAACGGCCACACUGGAAUUGAGACACGGUCCAGACUCCUACGGGAGGCAGCAGUGGGGAAUCUUCCGCAAUGGGCGAAAGCCUGACGGAGCAACGCCGCGUGAGUGAUGACGGCCUUCGGGUUGUAAAACUCUGUGAUCCGGGACGAAAAGGCAGAGUGCGAAGAACAAACUGCAUUGACGGUACCGGAAAAGCAAGCCACGGCUAACUACGUG